ACAGGCGUCUCUCUGAAACUCCUGUGGACCUCCAUACCAGAGGGGGAGCUAGAGAGCAUCAUCCCUCUACUCAGCCAUGUCUCCCAUCUCAGGGUUAACAGGAGGUUGUUGUUGAGGCUGCUCCACUGUGCGAUGUUCCUGAGCUCCACCAGGAGGCAGCAGUUCUGCUCUCUGCUCUACACCACAAGCUGGACUUGUCCUGCUAUGACGCUCUGGACCUCACGGCAGACACGAGUCUGUAUCUGAGCAGAGAGGACUGUAGAGUCGUCUCCACAGCUAUCCAGAGAGCUCACACAAAUGUCCAGGUCAAUCUCCAGGACUGUGAGAUUGAGAAUGACUCGGGAGUAGAGUUGCUCUUUUCUGUUCUACACACAGUCUCACUACGAAGCAGUAAAGCUCUGCUGCUUUACUUCCUUAACGUCAUGGACGUGGGCGCCGAGACGGAGCGCAUCAGGAGAGCAGCAGUUCUGUCCCUGGCUGU